GGGCAGGUGGCGUAACUGGUAGCCGCGCUAGUCUUAGGAACUAGUGGAGUAAUCCAUGGGAGUUCGAGUCUCCCCCUGCCCACAA
rnacentral:tRNA from 3 species